GGUCCCGUAACUCAGCGGUAAGAGUGCCUGUCUGUCUAACAGGAAGUCGCCAGUUCGAAUCUGGUCGGGAUCG
rnacentral:tRNA from 1 species